GAACUUACCAUGCAGUCGACGGUGACCAGGGGCUUGCCUCUGGGGAUCAGUGGCGAACGGGUGAGUAACACGUGAGCAACCUGCCCCGAUCUCUGGGAUAAGCGCUGGAAACGGCGUCUAAUACUGGAUAUGAGCUCCUGCCGCAUGGUGGGGGUUGGAAAGAUUUUUCGGUUCGGGAUGGGCUCGCGGCCUAUCAGCUUGUUGGUGAGGUAAUGGCUCACCAAGGCGUCGACGGGUAGCCGGCCUGAGAGGGUGACCGGCCACACUGGGACUGAGACACGGCCCAGACUCCUACGGGAGGCAGCAGUGGGGAAUAUUGCACAAUGGGCGCAAGCCUGAUGCAGCAACGCCGCGUGAGGGAUGACGGCCUUCGGGUUGUAAACCUCUUUUAGCAGGGAAGAAGCGGAAGUGACGGUACCUGCAGAAAAAGCGCCGGCUAACUACGUGCCAGCAGCCGCGGUAAUACGUAGGGCGCAAGCGUUAUCCGGAAUUAUUGGGCGUAAAGAGCUCGUAGGCGGUUUGUCGCGUCUGCUGUGAAAACCCGAGGCUCAACCUCGGGCCUGCAGUGGGUACGGGCAGACUAGAGUGCGGUAGGGGAGAUUGGAAUUCCUGGUGUAGCGGUGGAAUGCGCAGAUAUCAGGAGGAACACCGAUGGCGAAGGCAGAUCUCUGGGCCGUAACUGACGCUGAGGAGCGAAAGGGUGGGGAGCAAACAGGCUUAGAUACCCUGGUAGUCCACCCCGUAAACGUUGGGAACUAGUUGUGGGGUCCUUUCCACGGAUUCCGUGACGCAGCUAACGCAUUAAGUUCCCCGCCUGGGGAGUACGGCCGCAAGGCUAAAACUCAAAGGAAUUGACGGGGACCCGCACAAGCGGCGGAGCAUGCGGAUUAAUUCGAUGCAACGCGAAGAACCUUACCAGGCUUGACAUACACGAGAACACCC
rnacentral:rRNA from 1 species